CACGAAGGGGGCUAGCGUUGCUCGGAAUCACUGGGCGUAAAGGGCGCGUAGGCGGCGUUUUAAGUCGGGGUGAAAGCCUGUGGCUCAACCACAGAAUGGCCUUCGAUACUGGGACGCUUGAGUAUGGUAGAGGUUGGUGGAACUGCGAGUGUAGAGGUGAAAUUCGUAGAUAUUCGCAAGAACACCGGUGGCGAAGGCGGCCAACUGGACCAUUACUGACGCUGAGGCGCGAAAGCGUGGGGAGCAAACAGG
rnacentral:rRNA from 1 species